CAAGCCGAAGCUCCGAAUGAUGAGACCUAUCUAUGAACCAAUUUUUUUAGGAAGAGCCGGAAAAGGUAUGGCAGCGGUACUAGAAUGUUACUGUCUGUCGUCGGUGCUUAUAAAGGUUCUGCUGAAAGGAGUCUUCGG
rnacentral:snoRNA from 1 species